GCCAGGUGUUACGGUGUGUGCCUGUAGUCCCAACUACUCGGGAGGCUGAAGAGGGAGGAUUUCUUGAGCCCAGGAGUUCUGAGCUGCAGUGUGCUAUGCUGAUCCUGUGCUAUGCACCAAGUUAGGCAUCAAUAUGGUGACCUACCGGGAGGCGGGACUAUCAGGUUGCCUCAGGAGGGGUGAAAUGGCUCAGGUCAGAAGGAGAGUAGGUCAAAACUUUCAUACUGAUCAGUAGUGGGAUUGCACUUGUGAAUAGCCACUGUACUUUAGUCUGGGAAACAUAGCAAGACCCCAUCCCUA
rnacentral:SRP_RNA from 2 species